UACGUAGGGGGCAAGCGUUAUUCGGAAUUAUUGGGCGUAAAGGGCGUGUAGGCGGCUCUGUGUGUCCCAUGUGAAAGCCCUCGGCUCAACCGGGGAACUGCAUGGGAAACUGCGGAGCUUGAGUCCGGGAGAGGUGAGUGGAAUUCCCAGUGUAGCGGUGAAAUGCGUAGAUAUUGGGAGGAACACCAGUGGCGAAGGCGGCUCACUGGACCGGUACUGACGCUGAGACGCGAAAGCCAGGGGAGCAAACGGG
rnacentral:rRNA from 1 species